ensembl:snoRNA
AAGCCAGCAAAUUGAUCUGCUUGCUUGAGUGUUGGCAGAAACUAGAAGUAGCUGGCAGUAGUAAAGAAUGUCAUGUUAUGAGCCUUAACGCCAUUGGUGUUGUUAAGGUCCCUAAUAGAAGCUACAGGA